rnacentral:lncRNA from 1 species
UACCUGAAUCCUAUCAAAACCAAAUCCUUAAAUAUCUCUAAAUCUAAACCUAUAAGAAAUAAUCAAAUAACCAGACUCAAAAUAAAAAAAAUACAAAAUUUUUCUUAAGUAACCUAAAAAUGUAAAAAAAUAGAGGCCUAAAGAGUUGAAUUUGAGUUCCAAACUCGACCAGAACGACUUUUCGUUCGACACGUAUAUAUCGAAAAGUAUUUUUCGAAUUAGGAUUGUAUGCUGAAAACAGACACUCGAGCGAAAAAUUAUAAUCGUUUAAAAAUUUUUCACGCUAAUUAUAAAAGUUGUCAAAUUCAGCAAAAUUUUCGUCUAGCUUAGUUGAGUCACACUUUUUGAGAAACUCUAACGCUAA